UUUUAGAGAGUACAUGAAACGAUUAUUUAGUAUACUGUAACCUAUAGCGAAUUCAACAUUCACUAAUGACAUUCAACGGAACGAAAUAAAGAAAUAAACAACAGGGCGACUUGAGUCUAAAGAAAGAUGACAUCAUGGUUAAGGUCAACGUUUCGAAAACUGCCUCACAAAUAUGUGAUAUAUGACUAUGUGCAGAGAGGAAUUGUAUAUUCUGUUAUUUAUGUUCUCUCCAUUACAACAAUUCGAUAUGGCAUAGAACUUCGGCACCACUUUAAAGUUAGAAAACCUAUCAUCGAAGAAAAGAAAAGGGCCCUCAAGGAAUAUGAAUUUGAAAGGCUACAAGCUGAGAGGGAAUUUGAACUCAGUAAAGCAGCAUCACUCCAAGCAGAAGCUGAUAAUAUUAAACCUUAGAUAUGAUACACAUUAGACUUCUGAGAAGAAGAGACACUGGACUAUGUGAAAUGACAGGAGUUUCAUUUUGCUUCACCUGGAUGAAAUGAAAUGUAGGUGUCUGUGCAUCUCGUUGAUUUGAGGACAUCUUGCAAAACAUGUUCACAUUCUCAAACAAGUAGACCAUUUGCCUCUUGUCAAUCCCUUUACCACUUUUUAACGUUUUGAAGUCCUUUAGAAAACCAAAUUAUAUUUAAGUCCUUUCUUAAUAUAUUAAAGUUUGAAUUACUUGAUUUCCAACCCUUAGAUAUAGAUAAAGAAGAGUAGCAAGCAGCAUAAAACCUGAACAGACUGCGAGUUUCUCGCAGGCUGUUCUGAAUUUAUGCUGGUUGCAAAGGCCAUUUUCACUUAACUUCUGAGUGGGAAAGUGUUAAGAAUUUCAUGUCACAAAAUAUAACGUUCUGUGUGUAACAUUGUGCCAAUUAUGAAGGUAAAUAUAUUCUUUGCAAUAAUUGACCUUGUUUUUCUGACACUGAAAUAUUCAGACAUUUGUUUUAUGUGCAAAUGAUUUUUUACAUACACGUAGUACUUUGAACACUUAUAUAUAAAAAAAUAGAUUAGGAUUUUGACAUACAAAUCUGUUACUGUUAUCAGGUUUGUUUUGUUAUUAAGUCUAUAAAAAAAUCUAUAUUAAAUUUAUCCUCACUUGCUUCAAUAUGAUUUGUUUACCAAAGUUCAUGUCAGGUACAGGCAGAUGUUAGACUUCUUUCCCUGUAAUCUGAUGACAAUGGGGUAUGUUUGCUUCUCAGAUUCACAUACUUCAAAAUUGUUCUUUUUUUAAAUCUAUGUACAUGUAUAUGGUAAUCAAACGUCUACACUAUGAGUGUUAGAAGUUUAAGUAUAGGUAAUAUAAAUAAUAUUACAUUUCAUAUUUGUAAUGAACCUAACCUUCUCAUCUUUAUGAGUCGCGUUCUGAGAAAACUGGACUUAAUGCUUGUGAUUAAAGUGUCGUUCUAGAUUAGCCUGUGCAGUCUGCACAGGCUAAUCAGGGACGACAUUUUCAGCUUUUAUGGUAUCUUUAGUUUCAAGGAAGUUCCUUUCUUAUGGAAAAUCAAGUUAAGGCGUUAAGUGUCGUCCCUGAUUAGCCUGUGCGGACUGCACAAUCUGGAACGACACUUUAAGCACAAGCAUUAAGUCCAGUUUUCUCAGAACAAGGCUCAUAUUACCCGUAUACGUGCGCUUAUAAGACGCAUUUUUGAGACUUAAAUUAAUAAGUUACAGUUGGGGUCGCGUCUUAUAAGCGAGAUACUGGUGAAAAUAAACACAAAAUUUCAAAAUAUCGAGUUUACUGGGCUUAUGCUAGCCAAGUUGGACACUUGUCAGUUGUUUUGAAUCAUCGCGGCAGCCAUUUGCAUUUUCUCUAAAGUCUGUAUUGGCCUGUACCGUGUAUCGGAACGCUAUGUUCAGUUACUGAUUUAUUUGUUAUAAAAUGUAUUGUUACUGAUUUUGUUGUCUAUUAUUUUUGAUUUGAAUUUUGUUAUUUUUGGGGCGUAAGACGUUAUAUUGUCCGUGAUUAUUCUUGAAAAGUUUUUAUCACCCGAUUGUCUGCGCGCGACGUCGUUAAAUGCCAUAUAAAUUGGCCAUUAUAGUAUACAUGUGUAAGCGGCUACACGAUGCCAACAAUAUGCUAAAAACAACAGCAAAAUCAAUUCUCAGUUUGAAACUGUCAAUUGUUUAAUAAACACGCUGCCGGUUACAAAUGCUAUUUGACAAGUUUGUAUCACCUGAUCGUCUUUGUUCCACGUCGUUAAUUUUCAAUUAAGACAUUAUUGGCAAUUAAGGUAUCCUCUGAAAUAAGUUACCAGUUUGCAACUGUCAAUUGUUAAAUAAACAUGUUUAUUCAGACGACCCACUAAUGCCGAUGACACAUUAUUUAUUAGGGGCCAACAACGAAGGGAGCAAAGAGCGACCGCAUGCAAUUAUCUGCAUAUGGCUUUCUUCUUGACACGUGAUUUCGAUCUGCGCUUCGGAGUCUAUCACUCUAUCACGCGAUUGGCUAUUUUUAUGAAAGUAGGCGUUACCUAUUGUUGAUAGACAAUGGGCAUAACAUUUGCAUAAUCUAGGUAAUAAAACUAAACGCUUUCAAAAUAUCUGCCUAUUAGAUUUCAAUACCUGUCAAACAAUACAAUUAAGAUGACUGACACAAUCAAUUUUGCUUGUGCAUUGAUAUUAAGAACGUAAUAUGUUUGCAAUUGUUAGGGCAAAUGAUUAAUGCGCAAUUGUUAGAAAUUGUGUCAAUUUGAUAAUUAUUUUCAUUGCAUGAAUAAUACUUGAAAAUAAAUUAAAACCCACUAAUUUAUCAUAAAAUAAAAAAAUAUUAUUUACUUUGUUGUUUGAUUGUUUUAUUUUUCAGACUUGCGUGAAUUACUAAUUGUAUGCAGCGCGAGUUUGAAAAAUUCUCAAUGUUUUACUAAUUGAUGAUUUUCUUUAACAUUCUGCCAUUUUUCGUCCAUUUUCCGGCCGAUGAAUACGGCACAAUUUGACCGCGUCUUACACGCGGGUCAGUCUGAAAUCCACCCAUAAAAAGUCCGAAGUCGGGGUGCGUCUUAUAAGCGAGGGCGUCUUAUAAGCGCACGUAUACGGUAUGGUUAUUGUUCUUAUCAAAUGCUAAAGAUUUGUUGUUUUAAUCCUGUUGAAAUUAUCAACAUUAUACAUAUAUUAAUAGCAAGCGAAUAAUAAUUUAUAUUAGGGUUUUUGUUGUAGUUAUUAAGGAAAUAAACUCCUUAGCAAGUGUAAUUGUAAACUAUUUCAGAAGAUAUGAGUUAUUUUUAUAUUUAGUGAUUAAACAUUAAUUUUGUUGUAAUUCAAUAAUGCAUUUUGUAAUAAAAUUGUACAUGAGUGUACAUUUAA